UACGGAGGGGGCUAGCGUUGUUCGGAAUUACUGGGCGUAAAGGGCGCGUAGGCGGCCUGCUAAGUCACACGUGAAAUCCCUCGGCUCAACCGGGGAACUGCGUGUGAUACUGGCGGGCUUGAAUUCGGGAGAGGGAUGUGGAAUUCCCGGUGUAGUGGUGAUAUGCGUAGAUAUCGGGAGGAACACCUGUGGCGAAGGCGGCUUUCUGGUCUGAUACUGACGCUGAGGCGCGAAAGCGUGGGGAGCGAUCCGG
rnacentral:rRNA from 1 species